rnacentral:rRNA from 1 species
GGGGAAUAUUGCACAAUGGGGGAAACCCUGAUGCAGCAACGCCGCGUGAGGGAUGACGGCCUUCGGGUUGUAAACCUCUUUUGGCAGGGAAGAAGCGAGAGUGACGGUACCUGCAGAAAAAGCGCCGGCUAACUACGUGCCAGCAGCCGCGGUAAUACGUAGGGCGCGAGCGUUGUCCGGAAUCAUUGGGCGUAAAGAGCUCGUAGGCGGUUUGUCGCGUCUGCUGUGAAAGCCUGGGGCUCAACUCCGGGAUUGCAGUGGGUACGGGCUGACUAGAGUGCGGUAGGGGUGACUGGAAUUCCUGGUGUAGCGGUGGAAUGCGCAGAUAUCAGGAGGAACACCGAUGGCGAAGGCAGGUCACUGGGCCGCAACUGACGCUGAGGAGCGAAAGCAUGGGGAGCGAACA